rnacentral:rRNA from 1 species
GUGGGGAAUCUUAGACAAUGGGCGCAAGCCUGAUCUAGCCAUGCCGCGUGAGCGAUGAAGGCCUUAGGGUUGUAAAGCUCUUUCAGCUGGGAAGAUAAUGACGGUACCAGCAGAAGAAGCCCCGGCUAACUCCGUGCCAGCAGCCGCGGUAAUACGGAGGGGGCUAGCGUUGUUCGGAAUUACUGGGCGUAAAGCGCACGUAGGCGGAUCAGAAAGUCAGAGGUGAAAUCCCAGGGCUCAACCUUGGAACUGCCUUUGAAACUCCUGAUCUUGAGGUCGAGAGAGGUGAGUGGAAUUCCGAGUGUAGAGGUGAAAUUCGUAGAUAUUCGGAGGAACACCAGUGGCGAAGGCGGCCAACUGGACGGGAACUGACGCUGAGGUACGAAAGCGUGGGGAGCAAACAGGAUUAGAUACCCCUGUAGUCC